rnacentral:rRNA from 1 species
CCUACGGGAGACAGCAGUGGGGAAUAUUGCACAAUGGGCGAAAGCCUGAUGCAGCAACGCCGCGUGAAGGAAGAAGGCUUUCGGGUCGUAAACUUCUAUCAUCAGGGACGAAAAAAAUGACGUUACCUGAUUAAGAAGCCCCGGCUAACUACGUGCCAGCAGCCGCGGUAAUACGUAGGGGGCAAGCGUUAUCCGGAUUUACUGGGUGUAAAGGGUGAGUAGGCGGCAUGGUAAGUCAGAUGUGAAAGCUUUGGGCUUAACCCUAUGAUUGCAUUUGAAACUGUCCUGCUAGAGUACAGGAGAGGAAAGCGGAAUUCCGAGUGUAGCGGUGAAAUGCGUAGAUAUUCGGAGGAACACCAGUGGCGAAGGCGGAUUUCUGGACAGAAACUGACGCUGAGGCGCGAAAGCGUGGGGAGCAAACAGGAUUAGAUACCCCAGUAGUC